AGUGAACGCUGGCGGCAGGCCUAAUACAUGCAAGUCGAACGGCAGCACAGCAGAGCUUGCUCUGUGGGUGGCGAGUGGCGGACGGGUGAGGAAUACAUGGGAAUCUGCCCAGUCGUGGGGGAUAACGUAGGGAAACUUACGCUAAUACCGCAUGCGCCCUUCGGGGAAAGCCGGGGACCUUCGGCCUGGCGCGAUUGGAUGAGCCCAUGUCGGAUUAGCUAGUUGGCGGGGUAAUGGCCCACCAAGGCGACGAUCCGUAGCUGGUCUGAGAGGAUGAUCAGCCACACUGGAACUGAGACACGGUCCAGACUCCUACGGGAGGCAGCAGUAGGGAAUAUUGGACAAUGGGCGCAAGCCUGAUCCAGCCAUGCCGCGUGAGUGAAGAAGGCCCUCGGGUUGUAAAGCUCUUUGUCCGGAAAGAAAAGCGCCGGGUUAAUACCCUAGUGUCCUGACGGUACCGGAAGAAUAAGCACCGGCUAACUUCGUGCCAGCAGCCGCGGUAA
rnacentral:rRNA from 1 species